CCUACGGGUGGCAGCAGUGAGGAAUAUUGGUCAAUGGGCGCGAGCCUGACCCAGCCAAGUAGAGUGAAGGAUGAAUGUCCUACGGGUUGUAGACUUCUUCUGUAAAGGACUAAAGUGAGGCACGUGUGCCGUUUUGUGUGAACUUUAUGACUAAGGAUCGGCUAACUCCGUGCCGGCAGCCGCGGUACUACGGAGGGGCCGAGCGUUAUCCGGGUUUAGUGGGUUUAAAGGGAGCGUAGAUUGUCUGGUAAGUCAGUUGUGAAAGUCUGCGGCUCAACCGUAAAAUUGCCAUUGAUACUGGCAGCCUUGAGUUCAGUUGAGGUAGGCGGAAUUCGUGGUGUAGCGGUGAAAUGCUUAGAUAUCACGAAGAACUCCGAUUGCGAAGGCAGCUUACUAAACUGCCACUGACAUUGAUGCUCGAAAGUGUGGGUAUCAAACAGGAUUAGAUACCCCAGUAGUC
rnacentral:rRNA from 1 species